rnacentral:rRNA from 1 species
GGGGACAACCCGCCGAAAGGCGGGCUAAACCCGCGUACAUGCCACCGGGGCAUCCCGGAGGCAGGAAAGGCUUCGGCCGGACAGGGAUGGGCAUGCGGCGCAUUAGGCAGUAGGCGGGGUAACGGCCCACCUAACCGACGAUGCGUAGGGGUUCUGAGAGGAAGGUCCCCCACACUGGUACUGAGACACGGACCAGACUCCUACGGGAGGCAGCAGUGAGGAAUAUUGGUCAAUGGUCGGGAGACUGAACCAGCCAAGCCGCGUGAGGGAUGAAGGUACAGAGUAUCGUAAACCUCUUUUGUCAGAGAACAAAGGCGGGGACGUGUCCCCGGAUGAGUGUACCUGAAGAAAAAGCAUCGGCUAACUCCGUGCCAGCAGCCGCGGUAAUACGGAGGAUGCGAGCGUUAUCCGGAUUUAUUGGGUUUAAAGGGUGCGCAGGCGGUCUGUUAAGUCAGCGGUCAAAGCCCGGGGCUCAACCCCGGCCCGCCGUUGAAACUGGCAGUCUCGAGUUGGAGAGAAGUAUGCGGAAUGCGCGGUGUAGCGGUGAAAUGCAUAGAUAUCGCGCAGAACUCCGAUUGCGAAGGCAGCAUGCCGGCUCCACACUGACGCUGAGGCACGAAAGCGUGGGUAUCGAACAGGAUUAGAUACCCUGGUAGUCCACGCAGUAAACGAUGAA